AUGUACUGGAUCCGCCAGAGACCCGAGAAGGCGCUGGAAUUGGUCGCUGGGAUCAGGGAGAACGGUGCCUUCACCGACUACGCGCCGUCGGACCCCCGGGAGCCCAAAGGGGGCAGAUCCCGGCCGUGGCCUGGAGCUCGCUGCCGCUGCUCGCCGUCCUGUGCUGGGGGCACUGCCAGGGGGGUUCCAGAACCUUCCAGAGCGCUGCCAUGCCCAGCCCGGGACACGCCCGGAUCCGGCUUUGCCUCAUCCCCAUCUCCCCUUUUUCCCGCAGGGCUCCGGGCGGCCGUGACCCUGCUGGAGUCCGGGGGGGACCUCCAGCCCCCCGGGGGGUCCCUGCGCCUCCUCUGCCGAGGACAAGGAUUCGAGUUUGGGAAGUUCGGGAUGUACUGGAUCCGCCAGAAACCCGGGAAGGCGCUGGAAUUCGUCGCAGGGAUCAGAUAUAAUGGUGGCAGCACCUGGUACGCGCCGUCCGUGAAGGGCCGGUUCACCAUCGCCAGGGACAACGGGCAGAGCUCGGUGACGCUGAGCAUGAACAACCUCCAGGACGAGGAUUCCGGCGUUUAUUUCUGUGCCAAAUGUGUUAAUAAUGGUUGUGGUGCUGGUGAUGCUGUUGCUUAUAGUGACGAUGUCGGUGCUGGCCCUGAGCCCCCCUGA